rnacentral:rRNA from 1 species
GUGGGGCAAAUUAUUGGAACAAUUCGGGCGACAGCCUGGAUUCAAGCAUUGGCGCGGUGGUGUGGAUGCAUGUCCGUUACGAGAUCGUCAAAUGCUCUUCAAUCAGGAGCGAAAUACUGCCCGGCCUACUACCGGGCGGGGCUGACGGUACUGAGGAAUAAGGCACGGGCUAACUUCGUGCCAGCAGCCGCGGUAAUACGAAGGGUGCAAGCGUUAAUCGGAAAUUACUGGGCGUAAAGCGUGCGUAGGCGGUUCUUUAAGUCUGCUGUGAAAUCCCCCGGGCUCAACCUGGGAAUGGCAGUGGAUACUGGAGAGCUAGAGUGUGAUAGAGGAUGGUGGAAUCUCCCGGUGUAGCGGUGAAAUGCGUAGAGAUCGGGAGGAACAUCAGUGGCGAAGGCGGCCAUCUGGAUCAACACUGACGCUGAGGCACGAAAGCGUGGGGAGCAAACAGGAUUAGAUACCCUGGUAGUCCACGCCCUAAACGAUGCGAACUGGAUGUUGGUCUCAACUCGGAGAUCAGUGUCGAAGCUAACGCGUUAAGUUCGCCGCCUGGGGAGUACGGUCGCAAGACUGAAACUCAAAGGAAUUGACGGGGGCCCGCACAAGCGGUGGAGUAUGUGGUUUAAUUCGAUGCAACGCGAAGAACCUUACCUGGCCUUGACAUGUCUGGAAUCCUGCAGAGAUGCGGGAGUGCCUUCGGGAAUCAGAACACAGGUGCUGCAUGGCUGUCGUCAGCUCGUGUCGUGAGAUGUUGGGUUAAGUCCCGCAACGAGCGCAACCCUUGUCCUUAGUUGCCAGCACGUAAUGGUGGGAACUCUAAGGAGACUGCCGGUGACAAACCGGAGGAAGGUGGGGAUGACGUCAAGUCAUCAUGGCCCUUACGGCCAGGGCUACACACGUACUACAAUGGUCGGUACAGAGGGUUGCAAUACCGCGAGGUGGAGCCAAUCCCAGAAAGCCGAUCCCAGUCCGGAUCGAAGUCUGCAACUCGACUUCGUGAAGUCGGAAUCGCUAGUAAUCGCAGAUCAGCUAUGCUGCGGUGAAUACGUUCCCGGGCCUUGUACACACCGCCCGUCACACCAUGGGAGUGAGUUGCUCCAGAAGCCGUUAGCCUAACCGCAAGGAGGGCGACGAC